AAUACAUCCGCGUAAUCGACCCUAUAAAUAGACUUCGACAGAGAGCCAAAUGUUCCAUGCUGGUUUGUAUUGUUGAUUUUUCUUUUUUUUUAUGAUAUGAUGAUUUGGUGCUCUUCCUUUGAAUUUUGCAUUGAUUGAUCAAGAUUUAUACGAUUCUGAGGUCUUGCGAUCAUCUUUGUAGACAGAGGAGGAGGAACGUUACGGGUUCGCUGUUAGUUCUGUUUUUCUUUUGCUAAUUUAUUGAUUCGUUCUUGGUGUUUAUUUGAUCAGGAUUGGGCAAUAAUGAUAGGAGAAUGAUUAUGGGUACCCUUGCAGUGCAUUUAUUUUCUGAUUGAUUAAUGGGUAACCAUUCUAGAUGCAAUUUCGGGAGAAUCGAGUUUUGCUUCCAGGUUUUGAGAAAUUCUGACGUUUUUGUUGUGAGAAAUCCCGUGUUUUUGUUACCCUAUUUACUAUGAAGCCCAACGAUUUCCAGAAGUGGAAAUUUGGAUCUUGAGAUGAAUGAGUCCCAUCUUCUUUUCUUGGACUUAUCAGUUUGGAUAUGAUAUCUUUAAUGCUAAUUUUGAUGUUGAUCAUGGUUCUCCUCGCUCAACUUAUUUGGCGCGUCGUUAAUAGCUGUCAAGAAUACAUGGGGGCAUCUAGGUGCAAGUGGUUGUACAGGAAUUAGUGUCUUGCUUUGAUGUUCAUCUCGGGGAAGAUAAAGCAGUUCCCCGGUUUUUACUAUUGGUACUUGAUUUUUCAGUCUCUCAAAAUUUUGUCAAAACUGCUUAUGGAAGUUCUCAACUAUGAUGAUUCUAUUCAUUUGUGUGUAUACGGCGUUCUGCUCCACUUAUAUAGUUCAGAUGCUCAUGUUCUUUGACGAUCCCCUUAUCUCUAGUGGUUUUAAUUGUGCUGUGAAGUGCUCCUCUGCCUUUUGUGUCCUAGCUACUUAUAUUCUCUUUGCUUCCAUUUUCCGUUGGUUAUCAGGCCUGCUUGAUUUUGUUUGUUGGUGAAUAUGUGUGUAGACCACAUGCUGACAUUAAUAGAGGAUUAUUUUUGGAUACUUCAAAGGCUUGUAUAAAGUAUGAUUAUUUUUGGAGACUUCAAAGGCUUGUAUAAAGUAUGCAUUGGUGCGCGCCUGUGUCUUCGUCUAUUUAGUGUUUGCACUCCAAGAUGGAUAUUGCAAGGGUUGGACUAAUGGGGUUUUUCGAUUGGGUCUUGCAUCUCUAGUGGUUUCUCAGGUGAUGAGGGUUUUGUCAGCUUUGCACUGGACUGUUUCUUUCUUUCUGUGCUUGCAGUUGGGUUUAACCAAGUAUUGGAUUGUUCUUUUCAUGGAGGUUUUUGUAUGGAAAUCCGUGUUGAGGUUUUUCUAUUUCUGGUUUUGUGUAUCGAGAUUUUCAUUUUAGUUUUCUUCCCAAAUCAGAGUGGUCCCUCCUCUCUUUGUCGAUAAUUGCCUCUAAAUGGAAGUUCCCAGCUAAAAAUAGUUUUUUUUGGCCCUAGAGUUGUAUUCUGCUGCUGUUUUUAGUUCAGAUGCUUGUGUUGUUCGCCAAAAAAUAACGAGAUCCACCUGGUGGUUGGUGGGUAUAUGGUCUAAUUGCAGCUGAUAAGUGAUCAACACUCGAUCCUAGAUCUCUUGACCAAACCCACCAAGUGUGUCGGUCUCCUUUUGGUAUAUUUUCGCUGCUUAUCUUCUCUUCUUCCUGUUUGUUGUGUCACCCUAGCUUGAUUUUAUUUGUUGGACGGGUGAUAGUCAAAAGGAUCAGACUUGGAAAAUUUUGAAGGUUGAUGCCCAGUGCAUGUUCCUGUUCAACUUGUUUCUCUGUCAUUUCAGAGCUGUCACUGCAAUCUGAUAAUGCAAGAUAGAGGGGUUUCUCAAUCCUGAUACUUUGCCAUUUUUGUGCUUGCACCAUAGUGUAAAUAUUAUCAGGCUUCGGGAGAGGGGUUUUUCAACCCUGUCUUGCAUUCUCUAGUGGGUUUCGUCAGCUUUGCAUGUAACUCUUCCCUUCAUUCCUUUGCUUCCAGCUAUUGGGUCUUACUCUUACAUAUGUUGAGGCUUUUCUAGUUCAGCCUUUUUUUAGUAUCAGUAGUUUUCAAUUUAGUUUUCUUACCUCCCGACUCUUCUGUGUUGGUCAAAACUAGUGUUUGUAAGAAAGUUCCUAUUACGGUAUUAUUUUUGACCAGUGUGGUGUAUUCCUACUGCCAUGAAGUCCUUAAUCUCGACCUAUAUGUCCUUUGAUGAUCCAAGUGAUGAGGUUAACUAUGGUGAUGGGGUCUUUUAUGUCUGUGGACAGCUGAAUAAGUACUCGGCCAAUUCUAGAUUGCUGAGAGUGACAUAAAAACACUGAUUUGCUUUUGAUAUUGUAGCUACUGAUGUUCUGUGUUUCCGAUUUUGGUGAUACUGUUAUAGACAUUCAGAUUUGGAAGUUUCAAAACUUGGGUAUAACCAACAUGUAAUCCUCUGUCAUCUUUUUAUCUUUUGGUCUUUGGUGCUUGCACUGCAAUUUUAAUAUUGUCCGGGUUGUGACAUAAGGUUUUUUCUGGUCUUGUCUAUGGCAUAUUUAGUGAUUACAUGGGUGGUUUUAGGGUUCGUCAAAUUUGCACUCAACUGUUCCUUUUAAUUUAUGCAGUCAUUGAACCACAGGCAGUGGAUUAUUCUUUUCAUGAAGCGGCCUUAUCCGUUCGUGUUGAGGUUUCUUUAGCAGUCUCUUUUAUGAGUAUUGAGAUUUUCGAUUCAAUUUUCUUUCCUUGUGGAUCCUUGUUUUCUAUCAGAGCUAUUGUUGAAGGGAAGUUUUUUGAUUAAGAUAAUAUUUUCUUGCAAGUGUGUGUUGUGUUCUGCUGCCAAGAAGCUUUUAUUCCAGAGAAACUUCAGUGAUCCAGCUGAUGAGGUCUCCCCUUAUUAUGGGUACAAUCACUUGAUAAGUACUCAGUCUGUGGAUCUAUCUCUCCAUGAAGCGCUGCUUCACUUUUGGUUUUCUAGCUACAUAUAUUAUUUGCGGCAAUUUUUUUGUUGGAUGAAUGUGUAGACUAUAUGGUGAAAAUAUUAGAGGUUAGGGUUUGGAGAUUUCAAAGGUUGAUAUCUAGUAUAGUAUCUGGUUCGGGUUUUAUGAAUACUGUGAUUCUCAGUCCCUCUUCUCUUCAUAAAAAAUGACUGUUAUAUGGAAGUUCCCAGCUAAGUUAGUUUUUUUUGCACUAAGUCACCGGUUUCAAAAAAAAAUAAUUUUUCUUAGUGUGUGUUGUGUUCUACUGUCGUUUUUAGUUAUAGUUCAGAUGCUUGUGUUCUUUGAUGAUCCAUUUGAUGAGAUUCCUGGUUUGUUGGUGGGUGGGUAUAUGGUCUUAUUGACGCCUGAUAAGUCAUCAAAACUCAAUCCUGAAUCUCUUUACAGCCCCAUCAAGUGGGUCCGCUCUCUGUUUCAUGUUUGUUGUAUCACUCCAACUUGAUUUUGUUUGUUGGAUGGAUGUAAGUUGAGGAUUAGUAAAAUUGUGAAGGUUGAUGCCAGUGUCCAUGCUUGUGCAACCUGUUUAUCUGCCAUUUCUGUGCUGGUACUCGAUCUGAACAUUGUAAGGCAAGAUAGAGGGGUUUCUCAAUCUUUGUUCUUUGCAAUUUUUGUGAUUGCACCGUAAUAUGGAUAUUAUCAGGCUACAAGAGGGGUUUUUCAAUCUGUUGCAUCCUCUAGUCGGUUCAAUCAACUUUGCAAGUAAUUCUUUCUAUCAUUCCUUUUCUUACUGUCAUUUGGUCUUACAGAGCAGUGGAUUCUUUUUUUUAAAUGGACUGACCUUGUUUGUCCAUGUGCGUUGAGGCCUUUUUAUUUCGGUCUCUUAUGAGUAUCAAUAAUAAUAAUUUCAACUUAAUUUUCUUCCCUCAUGGCUCUUAUCUUUUUCAUAACUACUGUUGUAUGGGAUAUUCUCAAUUAGGAUGUUAUUUUUGACCAGUGUGUUGUAUUUCUGCAGCCAUGAAGCUCUUAGUCCGGAAGCAUAUGUUCUUUGAUGAUCCAAGUUAUGAGGUUUCCUAUGUAGAUGGGGUCUUUUGUGGCUAUGGACACCUGAAGAAGUACUGGGUCAAUCCUAGAUCUUUUGAUAGUGAUGUAAAAUACCUCUUUACUUCCGUUCUUCAAGCUACUUAUUAUCUUCUGUGCUUCUAAUUUUUUUCAUUAUCAUGAUAGUUUAUUUUGGUUGGAUAGAUGUGUAGCGAUAUGGUGGAACUUUUAUAGACAUUCAGAUUUGGGAAGUUUAAAGUUUGGUUUUAAUCAAACAUGGGAUCCUCUACCACCUUUGUCUUUUUGGUGUUUGCACUGCAAUUUGUAUACUGUCUGGGGUUUGACAAAAGGGUUUUUUCAGUCUCUUCUAUGGCAUAUUUAGUGAUUACAUAUGGGUGAUUAUGGGGUUUGUUAGAUUUGCACUCCACUGUUCCUUUCUUUUUAUUUGUGCAGCCAUAUUUUACAGGGCAGUGAAUUAUUCUUUUCAUGGAGUGGCCGUGUUUAUCCGAUUGGGUUAAGGCCUUUUUACUUCAGUCUCUUAUGAGUAUCAAUAAUUCUCAGUUCAAUUUUCUUCCCUCAUGGCUCUUAUCUUUGUCUUUUUUACUUUAUCAAUAGUUUCCAAUUCAAUUUUCUUCCCUCAUGGCUCUUAUCUUUGUAAUAACUGCUAUCGUAUUGGGAUUUUCUCAAUUAGGAUAUUAUUGUUGACCAGUGUGUUGUAUUUUUGCUGCCAUGAAGUUCUUAGUCCGGAAGCAUAUGCUCUUUGAUGAUCCAGGUUAUGAGGUUUCCUAUGUUGAUGGGGUCUUUUGUGGCUAUGGACACCUGAAUAAGUACUAGGCCAAUCCUAGAUCUUUUGAUAGUGAUGUAAAUUGCCUCUUUACUUCUGUUCUUCUAGCUACAAUAGCUUCGGUGCUUCCAAUAUCUAUCAUAAUCAUGAUAGAUUAUUUUGGUUUGAUAGAUGUGUAUCGAUAUGGUGGAACUAUUAUGGACAUUCAGAUUGAAAGCUUGGUCUUAAUCAACAUGUGAUCCUCCGCCACCUUUCUCUUUUUGGUGUUUGUACUGCAAUUUGUAUAUUGUCCGGGCUUUGACAAAAGUGGUUUUUCAGUCUCGUCUGUGGCAUAUUUAGUGAUUACAUAUGGGUAAUUUUGGGGUUUGUUAGAUUUGCACUCAACUGUCUUUUUCUUUUAAUUUGUGCAGCCAUAGUUUACAGGGCAGUGAAUUAUUCUUUUCAUGGAGUGGCCGUGUCUAUCCGAUUGUGUUGAGGGUCUUAUAUGAGUAUUGACAUUUUCAAUUCAGUUCCCUUUACUCGUGGCUGCCUUUUCUCUGGCAAAGCUAUUGUUGUAUGGAAGAUUUUUGACAAGGAUAAUAUUUUUUUACAAGUGUGUAUUGUGUUCUGCUGCAAUGAGGUUUUUAAUCCAGACACUUUGUUCUUCAAUGAUUAAACUGAUGAAACUGAUGAGGUCUCUUAUGGUUGUAGUCACUUGAUAAGUACUCGGUUUGUGGAUCUUACCUCUCCAUAAGUUGCUCCUCUACUUCUGGUCUUCUGGCUACAUAUGUUCUUUGCUGCCAUUGUCUUUCGGUUAUCACAACUCAUUCUUUUUGUUGGAUGGAUGUGUAGAUAUAUGGUGACAAAAUUAGAGGUUAAGAUUUGGAGAUUGAUAAGGUUGAUAUCAAGUAUGAUAUCCAAUAUGGCAUCUCUGUACCCUCUUGAUCUUUUUCAGUUCUUGCACUGCAAUUUGGAUAUAUUUUCAGGGGCUUCAACGAACAAGGGUUCUUAAUAGUUUAUGUGGCAUCUCUGGUGGUUUCUUUGGUGGUGUGGGUUUUCGUUAACUUGGAACUUCAUUAUACCCUCUUCUUUUUGUGCUUUUAGCCAUUGGGUCUCAAAGAGCGGUGGAUUGUUCUUUUCAUGGAAGUUCAGACUUUUAUGAGUACUGGGAUUACAACUAAAAGAGUUUUUGUUUUCACUACUGUCACAUAUUUUACCGUCGUUUUUGAUUUUUAGUCGAGAUGCUUAGUUUCUUCAACUAUUGAAUUAAUGAGUUUCCAGAUGGUUGAUGGUUAUGGUCUAUGGACACCUGACGAGUACUUGCUGCUCAUUUUUCCGCUUCCUUUUUCUUGUAUUUUUCCAGCUUGAAAGUUGAGGGGAUUAGACCUGGAGGAUUUGAAGGUUGGUGUACAGUUUUGCAUCCUGGGCAGUCCUGUUUCUUGGCCAUGUUAGUGCGCACACUACAAUCUGGAUACCAUCAGAGGCUUCGAAAGAAGGCAUUUCUUGAUCUUGUUUGGCAUUUCUAGUGAAUUCUAGGUGGUACAGGCUUCACCAGCUUUGCACUUACCUGUUUCAUUUUUUUGGUGCUUGCAGCUGUUGGGUCCUACAGAGUCAUAGAUUCUUCUUUUCAUGUAGCGGCCUUCUUUGAAUUGUGUUGAGGUUUUCUGGUUGAUGCUUUAAAGAUUAUUCAGAUCUUCAAUUCAAAUUUCUUCCAUUAUCAGAUGGUUCCCUUCUCUCUUUGCACUGCUUCACUAGUGUGUAUUUUGUUGCUAUUUUUUAAGUAAUGCAGAUGCUUAUGUUUUUUGGUGAUCCAAUUGAUGAGAUCUCCAUGGUUAUGGGCACUUGAUGAGUGUAUCUGAACUCAGGCCUGGAUCUUUUGAUAGCCCUGUUUGUAGGCCACAUCACCAUGUAUGAUAGUAAGAGGAUAAUUUUUAUAAAUUUUUUGGUUUGGUUUCGAUGUGCAUCCCUGUGGACCCUAUUUCUUUGCAUUCAGGUGCUUGCACCCCAAUCUGGAUGAUUGGGUAUCACCAGGGUUCAAGGUAUGAAUUUUUCUGUUGCAUUUUUUGGCAUCUCUAGUGAGUGAUCUCUCCGCGUAGUAUGAGUUUCCCAUGUUUUAUACUUGUUUCGUUCCUUUUGUGCAUGAAACCAUUGGGUCUUCCACAUAAUGAUCUCUUACUCAGCGGAUCCCUUUUCUCUUUGUCAAAACUACUAUUGCGUGGAAGUUCUCUACAGUGGUAAUAUUCCAACUAAUGUGUUGUAGUCUGCUUCCUGUUUGUUGCAUCACUCCUGCUUGAUUUUGAUUUGUUUGUUGGAUGGAUGGCGGUUGAGAGGAUUAGAUUUCGGAAGUUCUGAAGGUUGAUGCCCAGUGUUCAUUCCUCUGCACCCUGUUUCUUUGCCAUUUUUGUGUUUUCACUCACUCUGAUAUUAUCAGGCUUCAACAGAUGAGGUCUCUUAUGGUUAUAGACACCUAAUAAGUACUCCGUCAAUUUUGGAUCUUUGACAGUGCCAUUAAGUGCUCCUGUACUUCUGGUCUUCUAGCUCUACAUGUGUGUUUUCCUGCCAUUUUCUUUUGGUAGUCACAACUACUUAUUUUUGUUGGAUGGAUGUGUAGACAAUAUGGUGGCAGUAUUAGAGGUUAAAGAUUUGGAAAUUUCAAAGAUUGAUUUCCAGUAUGCCAUCUGUGUACCCUGUUAGUCUUUUUGGUUCUUGCACAGUUUGCACUAUAAUUUUCCCUCUUAGUAUUUUUGGUUCUUGCACUGGCAAUCCGGAUACAUUGGUCAGGGCUUCAACAAAGAAGGGGUUUCUUAAAUAUCGUCUACAUGGCAUCUCUAGUGAUUUGUUAGGUGGAAUGGGUUUGUCAGUUUUGGACUUGAUUGUACCCUUCUUUUUGUGCUUGCAGCCAUUGGGUCUUAUGGAGCAAAUAUUCUUUUGAUGGAGCGGCUUUGUUUGUACAAUUUAUGUUCGAGAUUUCCAUGGUUCAGGCUUGUAUGGGCACUGGGAUUUUCAACUAAAUAAUUUUUUUAUGCUUAUUUUCUUCAAUUAUCCAAUUUAUAAGAUUUCUGAUGGUUAUGGUCUUGUGGAUACCUAACAAGUACUCAAUUUUGGAUCUUUUGAAAGUCUUGUAAAAUGGUCCUCUCUUAUGUUGUCCUCGCUGCUCACAUUCUCUGAUUCCUUAUACUUGUAUUACACUAGCUUGAUUUUGUUUGUUGGAUGUAUGUAUGGUGAAGUUGAGGGGAUUAGUCGUGGAAGAUUUUGAUGGUUGGUGUACUGUGUUCGUUGUGCUUGCACUAUAAUAUGGAUAUUGUCAAGAGGCUUCGAAAAAGGCGGUUCUCAAUCUUGUCUUGGUAUUUCUAGUAGAUUCUAGGUAGCAUGCUUCACCAACUUUGCACUUAACUGUUCCAUUAUUCCUGUGCUUGCAGUCGCUGGGUCUUACAGAGCCGUAGAUUUUUCUUUUCAUGGAGUGCCUUGUCUGUCAAUAUGUUUAGGUUUUUAGGUUGAUGCUUUUAAUAUCAUUGGGAUCUUCAAUUCAGUUUUCUUCCGUAAUCAGAAUUGUUCUUGUUCCCUUCUCUACUUGUCAGCACUGCUUCACUAUUAUGUAUUUGUCGCCAUAUUCUUUCUUUUAAGUAAUCCAGAUGCUUAUGUUAUUUAGUGAUGCAACUGAUCAAUUCUUGCUACUUGCCUUCUCUGUGUUCGUUUAGCCUACCAAUUGAUUAAAUUUGGUUGGAUGACUUGUUUGCCACAUGGUGAUAUGAUAGUGAAGAGGAUACGUUUUGGAAAUUUUGUAGUUUGCGUUCGGUGAGCAUCAUUGUGGACCCCGUUUCUUGCCAUUUUGGUGCAACCUGGAUAAUUGGAUGUCACCAUGCCCCAAGAAAAGGCCAGUUGAAUAUAUUGUUUGGCAUUUCUAAUGACCCUUCGUGGUAUGGGUUUCCCAUGUUCUGCACUUACCGGUUUCGUUCUUCUUGUGCAUAACCGUUGGAUCUUCCUGAGAGCGAAUUUCAAUUCAGUUUUCUUCUUAAUCAGUGGGUGCCUUUUCUUUUUGUCAAAAUAGCAAUGAUAAUAUCUUCCACUAGUGCGUGUGUUGUACUUUGCAGCUGUGAAGCUUUUAGUGUAGUUGCUUAUUUUCUUGGAUGAUCCAACUGAUGAGAUCCCUGAUUGUUAUGGUCACCUGAGAAAUAUAUUAGAUUUUCUUAUGGAUCUGAGAGCGCUCCUAUAAUUUGGUGCAUUCUUGCUACUUAACUUCUCUGCUCCUGUUUUCUUAUGUUUAUCGUGCCACUUUGUAUUGUUUGUUUGGGUGGAUCUGUGUAGAGCACAUGGUGACAGUGAGGGGAUCGGAUUUGGUGGUCUCUAAGUUUGGCUUCAGUGUGUAUCCUUGUGCACCCUGCUUUUUUGUCCAAAAAUACAAUUUAGCUCAAGCGCAUGCAUAAUAUGUAAGAUUCACAUUUAGUGCAGGAUUUGGUGGUUUCGAAGGUUGGCUUCAGUGUAUAUCCUUGUGCACCAUGCUUUUUUGCUGUUUUGGUGCUUGCACGCAAUUUGGAUAUCAUCAGGCACCGAGGGAAGGAGUUUCACGAUCUUUCCUGGCAUCUCUAGUGAUCUCUUCUAAUGUGGCGUGGGUUUCAUGGCUUUGCAUUCUUGACUUUUCCUUUUUUUUUCUUGUGCCUACUGUUGUUGGGUUCGAAGAUAAGUGACAGUGAGGGGAUCGGAUUUGGUGGUCUCGAAGUUUGGCUUCAGUGUAAGUGCUGUUAUGCAGAAGUCCUCAACUACGACAAUUCUUUCCACAAGUUCGUUUUCAGCGUUUAUUCCAGAUGUUUAUGUUUGCUGUGAUCCAACUGAUGAGGUCUCUCGUGGGUGUGGACAUUUUGGUAAGUACUUGGUAAUUUUUGGAUCUUUUCAUAGCCCUGUUAAGUGCUCAUCUACCUUCCAUGUCUUGCUUCUUAUCUCCAUUCUUCUGUUUCGUCUGUUGGAAGGAUGAAUAUACCACAUAGCGAACAAUAUUGGAGGAUAGUAGGAUCUAUAUACAAUAUAGUGAACAGUAUGGGGGGGGGGGACUAGAUAGUGAACUGGUCAUUAAGGUGCUUGCACGACAAUCUGGAUAUUGGUGGUGCUUUGAGAAGAAGGGGGUUUCUAAAUGUUGUCUACGUCAGUUCUAGUGAUUUCCCAAGUUGUUUGGGUUUUGCCAAUUUGGCACACUGUUCCUUCUUUCUGUGUUUGCAGUUGUGUUCUUAAAGAAGUAAAAUUCUUCUUUCCAAGGGGCUGCUUUUGUUUGUUGAUUCAUGUUGAUGUUUCAUUUGGUUCAAGCUCCUGCGAGUGCCGAAUUUUUCAGUUCAGCUCUCUUCUCUUGGUCAGUAUGAUAUUUUUUUUUACUGUACACUCUUUGAAGUGGUGCUCUUCUUGUUGUGAGUUUAACUGAGAAUUUAGCACGACAGUGGUGGUUACCGUACAUGGUCAUAUCAUCCAAUUUUUGAUUUUUUUUAUUGGGUUAUCUGCAAACAUAAUCACUAUUUUCAGACUUAUUAUAGUUGGGUUAUGAAGCCUUUUUUUUGAAAGUUACCUAUUUCAAAAAAUAAUAUAAAAUUGAAGCUUCUGUAUUAUUCUUGGUGGUUCCUCCCCUAUUUUUUUUGAACAUGCCUGUUAUGUUUCAGAGAUUCAGUCAUUUGAGGAGUUGCUUCAGACUGUUAACUGUAAUUUAAAACUUUAAUGUAGAAAGAGAGAUUUCACACUUUCUCUCUCUUUGAAACAUUGCCAUUUGAACAUUCUUUGCAUCAAAGAGCUAGCGGCAAUUCGUUGGAUCUAGAAGAGAUCAAGUAAAUAACUUGGUUCAUCUCUUGCAAGUUGGGAAUUUUUUCAACAAAUCUUGUUCUUCUACUCCCGAGUUAAGGUUUGCACUAAUUUUCUUAAUAUGGUUGAAAUCACCAUUGGCCAUAUAGGUAACCUUUGUUCUGUCAUCAAAAUCCAUCACAUAUCAGAUCAUCGUGCAAGUUGGGAAUUUUUCAAUAGAUCUUGUUCAUCUAAAUACUCUUCCGAAUCAAGGAAACGACAUUUUGGUGAAUAGGCUCCGACUAUGAUUUCAGGUGAAGGUUCUUAGGAAUUCUCUUGGGAUACUUGGCCUCUAGUGCUUCGGAUGUCCCUGGGUUUGCAGAUUUGUCUUCAAGUUAGACGUUGCUGUAAAUUCUCUCUUUUGUUGGUUUCUCGAGGCAUCCAAGGACUUCCUGUUUAGGUUAUCCCAAUUUCUUUUUAAUUCAACCUGAGGCAAUAUGAUAGUAAGGGUAUAGACCAUGCUGUGUCUGCUGUUGGAUGCUAGAUCUCUCAAUUCUUUUGUAACAAAGUAAACCUCUUCUCCGGUACCAACAGCAGAUCAUCUUUUCUAGCAUCCCCUUUUCUGGAGCAGUAUUAGUUCAAGCUUUGAUACGCUCAAACUUACUUCUCAAAUAAGAAGUAAGCGGUCGUGUCAAGUAAAUAACCCAACUAGUGAGGUUGGAAUCGUUCCCACGAGGAAAAUAGUCUAGACUUAACUUCAA